GGGUUGUGAGGUUAAGCGACUAAGCGUACACGGUGGAUGCCCUGGCAGUCAGAGGCGAUGAAGGACGUGCUAAUCUGCGAUAAGCGUCGGUAAGGUGAUAUGAACCGUUAUAACCGGCGAUUUCCGAAUGGGGAAACCCAGUGUGUUUCGACACACUAUCAUUAACUGAAUCCAUAGGUUAAUGAGGCGAACCGGGGGAACUGAAACAUCUAAGUACCCCGAGGAAAAGAAAUCAACCGAGAUUCCCCCAGUAGCGGCGAGCGAACGGGGAGCAGCCCAGAGCCUGAAUCAGUGUGUGUGUUAGUGGAAGCGUCUGGAAAGGCGCGCGAUACAGGGUGACAGCCCCGUACACAAAAAUGCACAUGCUGUGAGCUCGAUGAGUAGGGCGGGACACGUGGUAUCCUGUCUGAAUAUGGGGGGACCAUCCUCCAAGGCUAAAUACUCCUGACUGACCGAUAGUGAACCAGUACCGUGAGGGAAAGGCGAAAAGAACCCCGGCGAGGGGAGUGAAAAAGAACCUGAAACCGUGUACGUACAAGCAGUGGGAGCACGCUUAGGCGUGUGACUGCGUACCUUUUGUAUAAUGGGUCAGCGACUUAUAUUCUGUAGCAAGGUUAACCGAAUAGGGGAGCCGAAGGGAAACCGAGUCUUAACUGGGCGUUAAGUUGCAGGGUAUAGACCCGAAACCCGGUGAUCUAGCCAUGGGCAGGUUGAAGGUUGGGUAACACUAACUGGAGGACCGAACCGACUAAUGUUGAAAAAUUAGCGGAUGACUUGUGGCUGGGGGUGAAAGGCCAAUCAAACCGGGAGAUAGCUGGUUCUCCCCGAAAGCUAUUUAGGUAGCGCCUCGUGAAUUCAUCUCCGGGGGUAGAGCACUGUUUCGGCAAGGGGGUCAUCCCGACUUACCAACCCGAUGCAAACUGCGAAUACCGGAGAAUGUUAUCACGGGAGACACACGGCGGGUGCUAACGUCCGUCGUGAAGAGGGAAACAACCCAGACCGCCAGCUAAGGUCCCAAAGUCAUGGUUAAGUGGGAAACGAUGUGGGAAGGCCCAGACAGCCAGGAUGUUGGCUUAGAAGCAGCCAUCAUUUAAAGAAAGCGUAAUAGCUCACUGGUCGAGUCGGCCUGCGCGGAAGAUGUAACGGGGCUAAACCAUGCACCGAAGCUGCGGCAGCGACGCUGAUGCGUUGUUGGGUAGGGGAGCGUUCUGUAAGCCUGUGAAGGUGUACUGUGAGGUAUGCUGGAGGUAUCAGAAGUGCGAAUGCUGACAUAAGUAACGAUAAAGCGGGUGAAAAGCCCGCUCGCCGGAAGACCAAGGGUUCCUGUCCAACGUUAAUCGGGGCAGGGUGAGUCGACCCCUAAGGCGAGGCCGAAAGGCGUAGUCGAUGGGAAACAGGUUAAUAUUCCUGUACUUGGUGUUACUGCGAAGGGGGGACGGAGAAGGCUAUGUUGGCCGGGCGACGGUUGUCCCGGUUUAAGCGUGUAGGCUGGUUUUCCAGGCAAAUCCGGAAAAUCAAGGCUGAGGCGUGAUGACGAGGCACUACGGUGCUGAAGCAACAAAUGCCCUGCUUCCAGGAAAAGCCUCUAAGCAUCAGGUAACAUCAAAUCGUACCCCAAACCGACACAGGUGGUCAGGUAGAGAAUACCAAGGCGCUUGAGAGAACUCGGGUGAAGGAACUAGGCAAAAUGGUGCCGUAACUUCGGGAGAAGGCACGCUGAUAUGUAGGUGAAGUCCCUCGCGGAUGGAGCUGAAAUCAGUCGAAGAUACCAGCUGGCUGCAACUGUUUAUUAAAAACACAGCACUGUGCAAACACGAAAGUGGACGUAUACGGUGUGACGCCUGCCCGGUGCCGGAAGGUUAAUUGAUGGGGUUAGCGCAAGCGAAGCUCUUGAUCGAAGCCCCGGUAAACGGCGGCCGUAACUAUAACGGUCCUAAGGUAGCGAAAUUCCUUGUCGGGUAAGUUCCGACCUGCACGAAUGGCGUAAUGAUGGCCAGGCUGUCUCCACCCGAGACUCAGUGAAAUUGAACUCGCUGUGAAGAUGCAGUGUACCCGCGGCAAGACGGAAAGACCCCGUGAACCUUUACUAUAGCUUGACACUGAACAUUGAGCCUUGAUGUGUAGGAUAGGUGGGAGGCUUAGAAGUGUGGACGCCAGUCUGCAUGGAGCCGACCUUGAAAUACCACCCUUUAAUGUUUGAUGUUCUAACGUUGACCCGUAAUCCGGGUUGCGGACAGUGUCUGGUGGGUAGUUUGACUGGGGCGGUCUCCUCCUAAAGAGUAACGGAGGAGCACGAAGGUUGGCUAAUCCUGGUCGGACAUCAGGAGGUUAGUGCAAUGGCAUAAGCCAGCUUGACUGCGAGCGUGACGGCGCGAGCAGGUGCGAAAGCAGGUCAUAGUGAUCCGGUGGUUCUGAAUGGAAGGGCCAUCGCUCAACGGAUAAAAGGUACUCCGGGGAUAACAGGCUGAUACCGCCCAAGAGUUCAUAUCGACGGCGGUGUUUGGCACCUCGAUGUCGGCUCAUCACAUCCUGGGGCUGAAGUAGGUCCCAAGGGUAUGGCUGUUCGCCAUUUAAAGUGGUACGCGAGCUGGGUUUAGAACGUCGUGAGACAGUUCGGUCCCUAUCUGCCGUGGGCGCUGGAGAACUGAGGGGGGCUGCUCCUAGUACGAGAGGACCGGAGUGGACGCAUCACUGGUGUUCGGGUUGUCAUGCCAAUGGCACUGCCCGGUAGCUAAAUGCGGAAGAGAUAAGUGCUGAAAGCAUCUAAGCACGAAACUUGCCCCGAGAUGAGUUCUCCCUGACUCCUUGAGAGUCCUGAAGGAACGUUGAAGACGACGACGUUGAUAGGCCGGGUGUGUAAGCGCAGCGAUGCGUUGAGCUAACCGGUACUAAUGAACCGUGAGGCUUAACCUUACAACGCCGAAG
rnacentral:rRNA from 1 species